rnacentral:rRNA from 1 species
AGUGAAUGCUGGCGGUAGGCCUAACACAUGCAAGUCGAACGGCAGCACAGUAAGAGCUUGCUCUUACAGGUGGCGAGUGGCGGACGGGUGAGGAAUACAUCGGAAUCUACUUUUUCGUGGGGGAUAACGUAGGGAAACUUACGCUAAUACCGCAUACGACCUACGGGUGAAAGCAGGGGAUCUUCGGACCUUGCGCGAUUGAAUGAGCCGAUGUCGGAUUAACUAGUUGGCGGGGUAAAGGCCCACCAAGGCGACGAUCCGUAGCUGGUCUGAGAGGAUGAUCAGCCACACUGGAACUGAGACACGGUCCAGACUCCUACGGGAGGCAGCAGUGGGGAAUAUUGGACAAUGGGCGCAAGCCUGAUCCAGCCAUACCGCGUGGGUGAAGAAGGCCUUCGGGUUGUAAAGCCCUUUUGUUGGGAAAGAAAAGCAGCAGGUUAAUACCCCGCUGUUCUGACGGUACCCAAAGAAUAAGCACCGGCUAACUUCGUG